AGAAAAGGAUCAAAAGAAGCCGCUAGAACUGUCUCUAACAAACCAAAAGCAAUAAAUAGCAUGUACUCGAGAUUGCAGAGGUUGGUACCACCAACAAGACUUGAAAGAUGUAAUAUUGGUGGCUUCUCUGUUUCAUACACAUACUUGGUUUGUGCAGAAGACAAAUGGAUUAUGGAGGAUGACAGUGGAUUACCAUAAGGUCAAUCAGGUGAUGACUCCAACUGCAACUGCCCUCCCAAGUGGGUGUGUUUUUUGCUGGAGAAAAGCAACACAUUCCCUGCCACCUGGUAAGAUGCUAAAGAGAGAUCACAUGGUAUUGCUCCUCUUUAGAAAUGUCUUGAGCAUCACCUGAACAUAAAGUGAUAAUCUAGAAUUUGUGUGUACUUUUAGGGAGAAGGUUAGCAUGUUUUUGAUUUUUUGAUGGAUAGUGGAGUAUGCUAACCAGAAGCAUGAUUUUGCUAUUUUCUUUAUUUGGAAGUUAAAUAUGGCUAAAAGAGGUGUGACUGAACAUCAGAUUAACAUGGGAUGGAACGUUGUGGUUUUGGAAUUUAUCCACUGAACUAAUCUGGAAAUAGAUUUCGUAGAAUCACCUGUCAUAAGGUUCUACUUUAGUGGACUUGUGUAUUAGCUUGACUGAACUAAAAAUAAAUUUUCCAGAAUCCCUUUCCCCAUUCACCUCCAGGUCAGAGUUGGCCAAAAGAAAAUUGCCCAAGAUUUUGGGGUGGAGCUGAAGCAGCAGGAGUUACAAUGUGAAGGUCAUCGCAGUCAGAGAUGAUGAGAGACAGGUGCUGGAAAGUUCCUGCUUCCCUUGCUCUCUUUCCUUCCUUCACACCUUUGUUCUUGUUCCAUGUCAGAUCUUCCUCUUUAUUACUAGCUCUGCGUACCAACAGCAACCCGGACCUGUUGCCCAACCCCUUGGCUGUGAAUUCAGAACCAUAGCUAUGAAGAGACAGCCUUCCAUGGCCUUCUAUCCCAGUCCUUUGUGUGAUCUAGCAGCUGAUGUGUCUCACUUCCAGAUUUCCCUGAAAGCACUAACUUGUUCACCCAGGCUAGUGCUUAAGAGGGCCAAUUAGUGUCUUUUCCCAUGGGUUUUGAACACCUUCAUUUGGACUGUUACUUCCCGUCUUUCUUUUCCUCCCGUUAUGUAAAGCAUUGGCUUUCAGACUUCAAUAUGCAUCUGAAUCACCUGGAGGGCUUAUUAAAAUCAGUUUUCUGAGUCUCAUCCCAGGAGCUUCGGAUUCAGUAGGGGCCUAGAUAUUGGCAUUUCUAACAAACUCCCAGGUAAUGCUUAUGCUUGAUGCUGUGGGUCCCAGGGCCACACUUUGAGAACCUGAUUCCUAUAAUAAAUGCUUUCUAAUAUCCAUUGGGAAGAAAAUAAGAGCUAUAAACAUGCAAUUAGGAACAUGCCAGUUGGGGUGGGGAGGAGGACUUCUGCCUUCCACUUCCCACCAGGAUGAAGUAACAGUCACCAGAUCUACUCCCUUGCCAGAAAUAACCAAUGAUGGACAAUAUGUGAAGCAAAAGUUUUCAAUGACUGGACACCAGGCCAUGAAAAGCAGUGAAACCUGAAGAUGGGAAAGAAGAGAUGAUCCCUGUGACUAUGAUUACCCAGAUUACUGCCGUGAUAAGAGUUUCUCAGCCUUGAAUACAGGAGGGGAAUGGAACCCAAGUGGAGCCCAGCACAAUACCUGAAUGGAGGAAACAGAGUUGAGAUUCUGAGAAGACAAAGUGGAUAGAGUUUGCAGAACAGAGUACCUGAGGGGUGAGAACCACAAGGAAAAAGAACUCCAGAGAUGUGCAGAGGGUCCCCCUUGAGUAUUUGACUGAAUACUGAUCAGCCCAAGCCAAUGUGGAAACUACCUGAAGCUGGAGAAAGAACCACCCAAAAGAAUGAGGGGUAACAAUGUCCAACACUCCUAUGGGAUUGGGUAGAGUGCCUGUGCUCCUCAGGCAGACUGGAAAGCCUCAUGAUUCAUGGGCAUGGGACAGCACUUGGAAAGGUCUUGCGUUAAAGGGGGGAAUAAUUAGGCUUACAAUGAACACUGAUGCAGUCCCACCUAACAUCUUAAAAAGCAAGAACCAAAAGAAUCAAAUUCCUCCCAAGUAACUGCACCCUGGAACAAAUUUCAAAAAUACUUGUAGGGAUAUAAAACCCCAGAACCUAACAAUGUAAAACUCAUAAUAUUUGGCUGUUGAUUUAAAAACAAGCAAGCAUGCAAAGAAGCAGGAAAAUAUGACCCAUAAUGAAUAAUCAAUCAGAAGUGACCCAGAUAUUACAAUUAGCAUCCAAGGGCAUUAAAACAAUUAUAACUGUCCCAGAUAAUCCAAAAGUUAAGUAUAGAGAUAGAAGAUUUAAGCAAAACAAACAAAAAUCUCAAACUUGUAGAGAUGAAAGCUACUAUGUCUAAGAUGAAAAAUAUACUGGAGGGGAUUGAGAGCAGAUUAGACCGCAGAAGAAAAGAUGAAUGAACUUAAAGACAUAGCAAUAGAAACUAUCCAAAAUUAAAAAAAAAUUUUUUUGUAAUGAACAGACUAUCAAUGAGCUUUAGGACAAUUUUAGGUGGCCUAAUAUCCAUGUAAUAGGUGUCCUCAAAGUGAGGAGGAAAGAAUGAAAAAAAUUUUGAGGAGAUAAUGGCCCCACAUUUUUUUAUUUGAUUAAAACUAUAAACCCCUAGAUCCAAGCAGGUCAGUGAACCCCCAAGCACAAGAAAUAUGAUGAAAACUACAAGGUACAUCAUAAAUAAUCAAAUUAUGUAAUCAAAGAACAUCAAAUCAAACCAGUGAUAAAGAGAAAUUUUUUAAAGCAUUCAGAUAAAGAAGACACAUGUACAGAGGAACAAAGAUAAAAAUGAGAGUAGAUUUCUCAUCAGAAUUCAAGAAAGAAGAGCAUAGAGCAACAUCUUUAAAGUACUGAAAGAAAGUAACUGUCAACCUAGAAUCCUAUAGCCAUAAAAAUACAUUUAAAAAAUAAAGGCUGAAUAAAUUUUCAGACAUACAAAAGCUGAAAGAAUUCUUCAUCAUCAGACCUAUGCUGUAAGAAAUGUUAAAGGAAAAGCCAAAAUGAAAUCACAUGAAAAUAUGGAUCUACAGAAAGGAAAUAAAAUUCACUGGAAAUGGUAA